rnacentral:rRNA from 2 species
CAGUCGAACGAACUCUGGUAUUGAUUGGUGCUUGCAUCAUGAUUUACAUUUGAGUGAGUGGCGAACUGGUGAGUAACACGUGGGAAACCUGCCCAGAAGCGGGGGAUAACACCUGGAAACAGAUGCUAAUACCGCAUAACAACUUGGACCGCAUGGUCCGAGCUUGAAAGAUGGCUUCGGCUAUCACUUUUGGAUGGUCCCGCGGCGUAUUAGCUAGAUGGUGGGGUAACGGCUCACCAUGGCAAUGAUACGUAGCCGACCUGAGAGGGUAAUCGGCCACAUUGGGACUGAGACACGGCCCAAACUCCUACGGGAGGCAGCAGUAGGGAAUCUUCCACAAUGGACGAAAGUCUGAUGGAGCAACGCCGCGUGAGUGAAGAAGGGUUUCGGCUCGUAAAACUCUGUUGUUAAAGAAGAACAUAUCUGAGAGUAACUGUUCAGGUAUUGACGGUAUUUAACCAGAAAGCCACGGCUAACUACGUGCCAGCAGCCGCGGUAAUACGUAGGUGGCAAGCGUUGUCCGGAUUUAUUGGGCGUAAAGCGAGCGCAGGCGGUUUUUUAAGUCUGAUGUGAAAGCCUUCGGCUCAACCGAAGAAGUGCAUCGGAAACUGGGAAACUUGAGUGCAGAAGAGGACAGUGGAACUCCAUGUGUAGCGGUGAAAUGCGUAGAUAUAUGGAAGAACACCAGUGGCGAAGGCGGCUGUCUGGUCUGUAACUGACGCUGAGGCUCGAAAGUAUGGGUAGCAAACAGGAUUAGAUACCCUGGUAGUCCAUACCGUAAACGAUGAAUGCUAAGUGUUGGAGGGUUUCCGCCCUUCAGUGCUGCAGCUAACGCAUUAAGCAUUCCGCCUGGGGAGUACGGCCGCAAGGCUGAAACUCAAAGGAAUUGACGGGGGCCCGCACAAGCGGUGGAGCAUGUGGUUUAAUUCGAAGCUACGCGAAGAACCUUACCAGGUCUUGACAUACUAUGCAAAUCUAAGAGAUUAGACGUUCCCUUCGGGGACAUGGAUACAGGUGGGUGCAUGGUUGUCGUCAGCUCGUGUCGUGAGAUGUUGGGUUAAGUCCCGCAACGAGCGCAACCCUUAUUAUCAGUUGCCAGCAUUAAGUUGGGCACUCUGGUGAGACUGCCGGUGACAAACCGGAGGAAGGUGGGGAUGACGUCAAAUCAUCAUGCCCCUUAUGCCCUGGGCUCCACACGUGCUCCAAUGGAUGGUACAACGAGUUGCGAACUCGCGAGAGUAAGCUAAUCUCUUAAAGCCAUUCUCAGUUCGGAUUGUAGGCUGCAACUCGCCUACAUGAAGUCGGAAUCGCUAGUAAUCGCGGAUCAGCAUGCCGCGGUGAAUACGUUCCCGGGCCUUGUACACACCGCCCGUCACACCAUGAGAGUUUGAACACCCAAAGUCG